GACGAACGCUGGCGGCGUGCUUAACACAUGCAAGUCGAACGGAAAGGCCCUGCUUUUGUGGGGUGCUCGAGUGGCGAACGGGUGAGUAACACGUGAGUAACCUGCCCUUGACUUUGGGAUAGCUUCAGGAAACUGGGGCUAAUACCUGAUAGGAGCUCCUGCUGCAUGGUGGGGGUUGGAAAGUUUCGGCUGUUCGGGAUGGACUCGCGGCUUAUCAGCUUGUUGGUGGGGUAGUGGCUUACCAAGGCUUUGACGGGUAGCCGGCCUGAGAGGGUGACCGGCCACAUUGGGACUGAGAUACGGCCCAGACUCCUACGGGAGGCAGCAGUGGGGAAUAUUGCACAAUGGGCGGAAGCCUGAUGCAGCAACGCCGCGUGCGGGAUGACGGCCUUCGGGUUGUAAACCGCUUUCGCCUGUGACGAAGCGUGAGUGACGGUAAUGGGUAAAGAAGCACCGGCUAACUACGUG
rnacentral:rRNA from 1 species